rnacentral:ncRNA from 1 species
CCAUAAACUUCGAUGAGGAAUAGUAAAAGGCUCCAUCCUUUUUAGAGAGCAUAUGGUUGGUGGAAAUAUGCAGGAUGACUUUUGAACUCGCCUCUGAGUUCUAUUGCUGAAAACUAGUAAGCAGUAGCGGCGCCGGUCGUUAUCACGUUGAGGCACAGUUGUGCAAAUUUAGGUGGUACCACGUUGAUAAACGUCCUAUGA